UAUUUGUUUCGCAAGUGAUGAUUAACAUAUGUGUGUGUUGUGCUCUUGGAUAAAAUGUUGCCGUUGUCUGCGAACAAGUACGUCGCGAGGAUGGCUGUUCAAUUGACGCCAAAUUACACCGCCUACGAAAUUUUAUUCUGGAUCUACUCCUGUCGUAGUCGGAAGCCUGGGCGAGCGGUGGCCGCUUAAACGCGCUGCCUCAUGCUGUGAACCAGUGCAUCGUGAGCACGGCGCAACGAUCGUCGCAAAAUUACUGCAUAUUAAGAUGCCGUUUCAGACGAAUUAAAUCACUAUGCAGCCAUAUAUUUAUCAUGAGGAUUAAAUACACAACGAAAUGC